UACGUAGGGACCAAGCGUUGUCCGGAAUCAUUGGGCGUAAAGAGCGUGUAGGCGGCUUGUUAAGUCUUGCGUGAAAUCUCGGGGCUCAACCCCGAGCGGUCGUGGGAAACUGGCAGGCUAGAGUGCGGGAGAGGAGAGUGGAAUUCCUGGUGUAGCGGUGAAAUGCGCAGAUAUCAGGAAGAACACCCGUGGCGAAGGCGGCUCUCUGGAACGCAACUGACGCUGAGGAGCGAAAGCGUGGGGAGCGAACAGG
rnacentral:rRNA from 1 species